CGAAAGUAGUGUCUCUAUUUUCGUGGUCACUGACAACUUAGCUUAAAGGGCUAAGUGUAGAACGCGGAGUGUAUAACGCGCAGUUGAAUCUACCUGACGUUGGCACUGCGCCAAUCUUGUAUAAUACGAAAGUUACACAUUAUAAAUAAAUUUCGUAUUAUAUAAUGUCAAGUGUAGAAUCUCACAGCUGGUUCACUGUACCGUAAAAUCUAGUCGAUUCAUGUACGACAUAAAAGAUACAUGUUAUAAAUAAAUUUUCUAUUAUAUAAUGUCAAGUGUAGAAUCUCACGACUGCUUCAGUGAACCGUAAAAUUUGACGUCGUAAACUGUUGAUAGUGGAAGAGAUGAGAAAUGGAUUCCAUCUGAGGAUCGCAUCUUUUUAUAAUGCCAGAUGAAUGACAUUUGGAAUGACAGAUCAGGGAUGUUGAGCAAAGGAAUGUAAAGAGUUCAGAUUUAAACAAAGUCUGCAAACGUAAAAAAAUGAUGUAUACGGAAGUCCGCCAAAACCGGAAAGCAAGGCGUUAAAUAAAUAAUUAAACAGUUUUAUAAAUA